UUAGUAACGCGUGGGAACGUGCCCUUUAGUACCGAAUAGCCAUUGGAAACGAUGAUUAAUACCGUUACGCCCCAAGGGGGAAAGAUUUAUCGCUAAAGGAUCGGCCCGCGUUAGAUUAGGUAGUUGGUAGGGUAAUGGCCUAUCAAGCCGACGAUCUAUAGCUGGUUUGAGAGGAUGAUCAGCAACACUGGGACUGAGACACGGCACAGACUUCUACGGAAGGCAGCAGUAGGGAAUCUUGGACAAUGGGCGAAAGCCUGAUCAAGCCAUGCCGCGUGAGUGAUGAAGG
rnacentral:rRNA from 1 species